CCCGGGCGUAGCGCAGAGGCAGACGCAUCGCUUUCGCAGAGCGGGUCACGCCGGUUCGAAUCCGGCCCCCGGGA
rnacentral:tRNA from 1 species